CCCACGAGUGACAACUCAUGCGCAAGAUCCGUUCAUCCGGGUCACUCAUCUAAGGAACCGAACUCAAGCAGCAACAGUAACAGCAGCCUUAGUUCAUGGGUCAAGGGGAGCAGACAGCGAGUGUCCAGCGAUAGGAUUAGGUGCCGUCUUCGGCUGCUAGAAACCACUGCCAACGGCCAUAUGUGCAGCCAAUUUUGACAGGUCAACAACGCCAGCGACGUUUACAGCCCUCACACAGCAAGGGUGUCGAUGGAUUAUCUGGCUCAGAACAACUUUAAUGUUCUUCCAUGGCCGUCUCGUUCCCCGGAUAUGGCUCCCUUUGAUCAUUCUGGGACAGCAUUGGACGCAGGAUUGCUGCAUGUAGACAUCCACUCACAAUUGCACAGUUGGAACAGAUAUUGGUGUUUGGGUGGAACAACUUGCCUAAGGCAUUCUUUCAGACUCUAGUGAACUCAAUGAGGCGACGUUGCACGGCC